GUGCUCGUUUUGGCAGUACAUAUACCAUAAAAUUGGAACAAUCUAGAGAAGAUUAGCACGGCCCCUGCUCAAGGAUGACAUGCAAAUUCAUGAAGUGGUCCAUAUUAAA